GGACUUCUACUAUGAGUUAGGAUACGGUAUAAAUAAUUUUAAAAUAUUUUUUUUAGAAUAGGCAUAUUUUGCAAGGAGAGUGUGAGGAUGAUCUAUUUGGUAAUCUAGAAUGGUAGUAAAUCCUUUGGCUCAGGGUCCACCGAGGCUUCUUUUGCUCCAUCAAAUACCCUCCCCAGCACUUGAUAAAGAGGGAUUAGGCCUGUAAAUGGGUCGGGUC
rnacentral:lncRNA from 1 species